CAUGUGGAGGGUGCAGAGCCUGAGCCCAGUAUGGUGACGGACCAGCCACUGCUUAUGUCAGACAAAGACCCGGACCAAUAAAUCUCCAGACUUCCCCAGACAGUUAUGCCCAGCAGUAGCGAGGGGCCUGGGGGCUGAUCGGCAAGGACAGGGCCAGGUAUGCCUGGGGAGCAGGGGCUGCUCACAGGUGGCUCAGUCCAAUCGUCAUGUCCUGCUUAGGAUGCUCCUUGGACGUGCUUUGGUGCCUGAUCUCAUUAAUGUGAUUUCAGCCUUUGAAUUAAGCACCAGUUCACUCUAAGUGCUACGGGGGAUAAAGAGAAUAUUCUAGUCCCUGCAUCCAUCACAGCUGCUCUGCCAAGCAAAGUUAACAAGUAAACAGUAAUCACCCACAAUUAUUGCCCAUUACGUGCUCUUUUCACCUGAGAUCACACAACAAAGCAUGAGUGUGGAGCCACAGGAGGAGCUGGGUGGCAAGGAGCUGUCAAGAUGAAAUAACAGCAAAAAGACCUGUCAAACGCUGGCUCUGUGAAAGACCUAAAUCCUCUCCUGAUGGCCCCUUGGUGCAAUGUACAAGAGCUACUUCUGUGUAAUUAUAAAUUGUCUGCAGGGCUUAUCUGAGAGGUUCAGAGUUGACAUUACAAUAAUAGGGUGGGUGAGUUUUAUUUAAGGGAUAACAUUCCUGGCAGUGGUGUACACAUGGCAGUAAAUGAGUGUGGCGGGUGAUUAACACCAUCGCGAAGCCUUCGCGGUCCCUGCUGGCUGGCCAGAAGCAGAGGAGCCUGGCAGGUCCUGGCAUGGCAGGGAGGUCCUGUUGGGGCCACCAGGGCUGGCCUGUGACAGCCUGCAGUGUGGCACAUGCCACCUGGGGCUCUGUGCUGAGUGAGUUGUGGUGGGUGCACAUGGGGUGCACGGGGUCCCAUCCAGACAGGUCAGGGGCACGAUUCGUGUCCUCUAACUCUGGGCACAUACCAGUGCAACGUCCCCAUGAAGCUGUCUGCCUGGGCUCUCUUUAUAGCUAGCAGAGAGGGAAGGGUGAUUUUGUGGCGUGGUUUA